GAUGAACGCUGGCGGCGUGCCUAAUACAUGCAAGUCGAGCGAACAGACGAGGAGCUUGCUCCUCUGACGUUAGCGGCGGACGGGUGAGUAACACGUGGAUCACCUACCUAUAAGACUGGGAUAACUUCGGGAAACCGGAGCUAAUACCGGAUAAUAUAUUGAUCCGCAUGGUUCAAUAGUGAAAUACGGUUUUUCUGUCACUUAUAGAUGGAUCCGCGCCGCAUUAGCUAGUUGUUAAGGUAACGGCUUACCAAGGCAACGAUGCGUAGCCGACCUGAGAGGGGGAUCGGCCACACUGGAACUGAGACACGGUCCAGACGCCUAAGGGAGGCAGCAGUAGGGAAUCUUACGCAAUGGGCGAAAGCAUGACGGAGCAACGCCGCGUGAGUGAUGAAGGUCUUCGGAUCGUAAAAAUCGGUUAUUAGGGAAGAACAAAUGUGGAAGUAACUAUGCACGUAUUGACGGUACCUAAUCAGAAAGCCACGGUUAACUACGUG
rnacentral:rRNA from 1 species